rnacentral:rRNA from 1 species
UAACUGAAGAGUUUGAUCAUGGCUCAGAUUGAACGCUGGCGGCAGGCUUAACACAUGCAAGUCGAGCGGGGGAAGGUAGCUUGCUACUGGACCUAGCGGCGGACGGGUGAGUAAUGCUUAGGAAUCUGCCUAUUAGUGGGGGACAACAUCUCGAAAGGGA